GUCAGAGAACUUGGGUUCAAAUUCCAGUUCUUCCAUUUGCUACUUGUAUGAUCUUGGAUUCUGUAGCCCAGGAACUUUCAAAAUCAUGGAAAAAUUGACCUCUGUUCAAGGUAAUACGUGACACUGGAUGGGAACCAAUGGAGAUGUUCUGAUUCCCCAUUCUCAUUGUUCCUGUUGAUCUAUUUCAUUUUCCACGUGGUCUUUGAUCUUGACCAUCAACUAUACUAGGUAUAUACCCCAAAAAUAUCAAAGAAAGAGGAAAAAGAGCUAUAUAUGCGAAAAAUUUAGAGCAGAUCUUUUUGUGGUAACAAAGAAGUGGAAACUGAGGAUAUGUCUAUCAAUUGGGGAAUGGCUGAACAACUUAUUGUAUAUGAAUGUGAUGAGGAAAUUGAUAAGAUAUGAGGAAAUAGAUGAUUUCAGAGAAACUCAGGAAGAUUUGUAUAAACUGAUACAGUAUGAAAUGGACAGAACCCAAGUGAACAAUUUAUACAAUAACAAUAGUGCUAUAAAGACAACGAUUUUGAAAACCUUAGGAAUUCUGAUCAGCAUAAUGAACAACUAUGAUUUCACAGGACUCCUGACAAAACAAACUUCCCCCGUCCUGAGAGAGAAGUGCUGGAUUCAGAGUUCAGAUUAAGGUGGUUGGUUUUUUUUGUUUGUUUGUUUUUGGACAAUGACGUUUCAGGAAUUUGUUUUGCUUGACUAUGUGUGAAUAGGAGAAUCUAUUUUUCUUGUUUUUAC